AUUUCUGAUGUUUUUGUGACUUUUGUUGGAUGUUAACUGUUGACGUUUUUGAACUUUGGUUAAUUCAAUUUCAGUUGCUUUUUACUUGGUAUGUUGUUUGUUUGUUUCAGGAGCAAUGGAAGUGUUGGAUAUGAUGGAAGAUAGAUUCUGAGAGUCUAGGAUUAGCAGAGCGUAGUUUUGUAUAGGAAUGCCAAAGGGGGAGAUUGUUAGUACAUGUUAGUACAACAUGUGUUGUUGGCAUUCCAUUAACCACAAAAGUAUUCAUAAGCCAUGUGAUGAUCUUAAUUAUAUAUUUCUAUGUGCUCUGCUUUGAGAUGGUGACUUUUGCUUUUUAGGCAUGCACAUCGAAGUCUACACAUGUUUGCUGUCCAUGCAGGUUGUGCGCUGUGAUCUUCUGGUGAUUUGUUAGUAUUAACAUAUUGGCAAGGAGAGGCAAUAUCCCAUUGAGAUGGAUCCGGGUGAGGAAGAAAAUCUUGGAGAGGUAAUUAAUAUCCCCUUGAGAUGGAUCCGAGUGAAGAAGAAAGGUGAAAGCAACCAUAUCUUUUCCUUGCUGUCCACUUAAUUCAAUCAUGGAGACCUUGCUGUCGUAAAUGAAAAGGGAAGGACAUGGAAGCUAGGUUCUCCAUCUUUCUAUCAUGGAAAUCUUGCUGUUAAAGAAAAGGUUUCGAUCUAGCCUUGCUGUUAAUCUUAAUAUCCACUCAGUGCAAUCAUGAAGACCUUGCUGUCAAAGAUAGAAGUAGGGAGCAAGUGCAUCUGGACCUCGUGGUCUUACUCCAACCAAGCUGAAGAAACUUGGUUAUUGUUCCUCCUAUAUAUAUAGGAGUUCUGUGGUUUUUGAGGUGGGGUGUCUGAGUUCAAAGUUCAAGAGAUUAAGUUAGUCAUGAGUAUAUUUCAUUCUUGAUAUUCUCUUGUAUUAAACACCGAUGAGUUCAGUUGAGAAAAUCAACUAUGUUUGAGUUUUCAAGACCGAUGUUUUCAAGACAAGUGGAGCACAUUUAGAAGCUGUAGACAAAUUACUGAGAGGUAGUUCAACUGGCUAAAAGAGUUUAGCUAGAGAUAACCGAGUCCAGAGUUAUCCGAGAGGUUGUAAGUGUACCUUGUAUUUUGUUUACUAUUUUAUAGUGUGUGCUUAAGCACUUGGCCCGAGGCCCGCAGUUGUUUACCUCACUUUUGAGGGUUUUACUGCGUAAACA